UACGUAGGGGGCAAGCGUUGUCCGGAAUCAUUGGGCGUAAAGAGCUCGUAGGCGGCUGUUCAAGUCGAACGUGAAAACUCGGAGCUCAACUCCGAGCCUGCGUUCGAUACUGGACGGCUAGAGUCUGGUAGGGGGAUCUGGAAUUCCUGGUGUAGCGGUGGAAUGCGCAGAUAUCAGGAGGAACACCGGUGGCGAAGGCGGGAUCCUGGGCCAGUACUGACGCUGAGGAGCGAAAGCGUGGGGAGCAAACAGG
rnacentral:rRNA from 1 species